GACGAACGCUGGCGGCGUGCCUAACACAUGCAAGUCGAGCGAAUGCAGUUCAUUCGGGUGUGGAUUUAGCGGCCGACGGGUGAGUAACACGUGGGCACCCUGCCUCCUAGAGGUGAAUAGCCUUCCGAAAGGGGGAAUAAUACCGCAUAAGAUUGUAGUAUCGCAUGAUACAGCAAUUAAAGGAGCAAUCCGCGAUGAGAUGGGCAGGCGGCGCAUUAGUUGGUUGGUGAGGUGACGGCUCACCAAGGCGACGAUGCGUAGCCGAGCUGAGAGGCGGAUCGGCCACAUUGGGAGGGAGACACGGCCCAGACUACUACGGGAGGGAGCAGAGGGGAAUAUUGCACAAUCGGGGAAACCCUGAUGCAGCAACGCCGCGUGAGUGAUGACGGCCUGCGGGUUGUAAAGCACUGUCUUCAGGGACGAUAAUGACGGUACCUAAAGAGGAAGCAACGGCUAACUACGUG
rnacentral:rRNA from 1 species